UCAUUUCGUGUAAUUGUUAAAAUUAAGUGAAAUUUAGUGAAUUGUGAAAUAAAGUGAAUUUGUGCAAGGAAAAGUAGUGCAAAUCAAAUUUCAGUGGAGUUGCGUGAUAAAGCAGAGUAAAGUGCGGUUGUGUAAGGUUUUUGUGCUGCAAAAGCAGCAAGAGGAGCGUCGUGCACGGAAGUGCGUGCCUCCUUAAAAGCGCUCUGAAAAACGAGCUAAAUAAGCAUUAAAGUGUCUAAAAUGUGUGAAAUAUAAGUUCAAAUUGAGUGAAAAGUGUUAAAUAAGUGAAAGGUGUAGUAAUUUAUAGCAAAUUGUUAAUAAAUUAUUUGACGUGAUCUUGUGUCGGCAGAAUCGCGAUGUGGCAGCGGAGGCUUCGUUUAGUGCAAUGACCAGGCUUGGCCAUAACUUAAGUGGUAACCAUUUUCUUGGCAAUAAGAAAAAAUCGAUGGGUGAACAUAUAUAUGUGAAUAUAUAAUCUUUACUUGUGACGUAAUAAGUAAACGAUUUACCGCUCCUCACCUACCAUACAUGUCUACAUUUCUAUGGGAGCACGUAACAGAGUUUGUGCAACCCGAUAUAAUUAACGAGUAAGCAAAAUGUAAACGAACUGA